rnacentral:rRNA from 1 species
AUUGAACGCUGGCGGCAUGCCUUACACAUGCAAGUCGAACGGCAGCGCGGACUUCGGUCUGGCGGCGAGUGGCGAACGGGUGAGUAAUACAUCGGAACGUACCCUGUUGUGGGGGAUAACUAGUCGAAAGAUUAGCUAAUACCGCAUACGACCUGAGGGGGAAAGUGGGGGACCGGAAACGGCCUCAUGCAGCAGGAGCGGCCGAUGUCUGAUUAGCUAGUUGGUGGGGUAAAGGCCCACCAAGGCGACGAUCAGUAGCUGGUCUGAGAGGACGAUCAGCCACACUGGGACUGAGACACGGCCCAGACUCCUACGGGAGGCAGCAGUGGGGAAUUUUGGACAAUGGGGGCAACCCUGAUCCAGCAAUGCCGCGUGUGUGAAGAAGGCCUUCGGGUUGUAAAGCACUUUUGUCCGGAAAGAAAUCGCGCUGGUUAAUACCUGGCGUGGAUGACGGUACCGGAAGAAUAAGCACCGGCUAACUACGUG